UCAAGCGCGAAAAGGGCGUUUGGUGAAUGCCUUGGCAGUAAGAGGCGAUGAAAGACGUGAUACUCUGCGAUAAGCCAUGGGGAGCUGAGAAUAAGCUUUGAUCCAUGGAUUUCUGAAUGGGGCAACCCACCUGAUACUAUGUUAUUGUUACCCGCUUCGGCGGCGAUCAAUAAUGUGGUAAAACAGGUAUUUCUAGACUGAAUACAUAGGUUUAGAAAAGCAAACCCGGGGAACUGAAACAUCUAAGUACCCGGAGGAAAGGAAAUCAAUUGAUACUCCCCUAGUAGCGGCGAGCGAACGGGGACCAGCCGAGCCAUGAGUGUGGUUAGAAUGCGUUGGAAUGCGCAACCAAAGUGGGUGAUAGUCCCGUAUAAGAAGCAUGAUUGGACGUAUUAAGUAGGGCGGAACACGUGAAAUUCUGUCUGAAGAUCGGAGGACCACCUUCGAAGGCUAAGUACUCCUUACUGACCGAUAGUGAACCAGUACCGUGAGGGAAAGGUGAAAAGCACCCCGACGAGGGGAGUGAAACAGUACCUGAAACCGAACGCCUACAAUCAGUUGGAGGGGCUUUACGCCCUGACAGCGUACCUUUUGUAUAAUGGGUCAUCGACUUGGUCUCACAAGCAAGCUUAAGCCGUUAGGUGUAGGCGUAGCGAAAGCGAGUCUUAAUAGGGCGUUGAGUUUGUGGGAUCAGACCCGAAACCGAGUGAUCUAGGCAUGGCCAGGUUGAAGGUAAGGUAACACUUACUGGAGGACCGAACCCACAUCCGUUGAAAAGGAUCGGGAUGAGCUGUGCCUAGGGGUGAAAGGCCAAUCAAACUCGGAGAUAGCUGGUUCUCUGCGAAAUCUAUUUAGGUAGAGCGUCAUCCGAAUACCCUCGGGGGUAGAGCACUGGAUGGGUAAUGGGGCCCCACAGGCUUACUGAUCCUAACCAAACUCCGAAUACCGAGGAGUACUAGAUGGCAGACACACGGCGAAUGCUAACGUCCGUCGUGAAGAGGGAAACAACCCUGACCUACAGCUAAGGCCCCUAAUUCAUGGCUAAGUGGGAAAGCAGGUGGGACGACCAAAACAACCAGGAGGUUGGCUUAGAAGCAGCCAUCCUUUAAAGAUAGCGUAACAGCUCACUGGUCUAAAUAAGUUGUCCUGCGGCGAAGAUGUAACGGGGCUCAAGCCAUGAGCCGAAGCUGAGGAUGCAUUUAUUGCAUGGUAGCAGAGCGUAGUGUGACAUAAUUCCAUGUCUCCUUCACAGUUUUCGGACUGUAUUGGAGACGCGGAGUUUUCUGUGAAGCUGGCGCGUGAGCGAUCCGGUGGAGAGAUCACUAGUGAGAAUGAUGACAUGAGUAGCGACAAAGAGUGUGAGAGACACUCUCGCCGAAAGUCCAAGGGUUCCUGCUUAAAGCUAAUCUGAGCAGGGUAAGCCGACCCCUAAGGCGAGGCCGAAAGGCGUAGUCGAUGGGAACCAGGUUAAUAUUCCUGGGCCAGAUGGAAGUGACGGAUCUCGAGGGUAGUUCAUCCUUAUCGGAUUGAAUGGGCUGCUUAGAGGUCCCUGGAAAUAGCUCCAUCGCUAGAUCGUACCCUAAACCGACACAGGUGGACAGGUAGAGAAUACCAAGGCGCUUGAGAGAACUAUGUUGAAGGAACUCGGCAAAAUACCUCCGUAAGUUCGCGAGAAGGAGGCCCGGUUUCUAGGCAACUAGAGGCUGGGGGCACAAACCAGGGGGUGGCGACUGUUUAUUAAAAACACAGGGCUCUGCGAAGUCGCAAGACGACGUAUAGGGUCUGACGCCUGCCCGGUGCCGGAAGGUUAAGAGGAGAUGUGCAAGCAUUGAAUUGAAGCCCCGGUAAACGGCGGCCGUAACUAUAACGGUCCUAAGGUAGCGAAAUUCCUUGUCGGGUAAGUUCCGACCUGCACGAAUGGCGUAACGACUUCCCCGCUGUCUCCAACAUAGACUCAGCGAAAUUGAAUUACCGGUCAAGAUGCCGGUUACCCGCGGUUAGACGGAAAGACCCCGUGCACCUUUACUACAACUUCACACUGGCAUUAGGCCGAACAUGUGCAGGAUAGGUGGUGGGCUUUGAAGCGUGGACGCCAGUCUGCGUGGAGCCUCCCUUGAGAUACCACCCUUGUUCUGCUUGAUGUCUAACCGCGGUCCGUUAUCCGGAUCCGGGACCCUGUGUGGUGGGUAGUUUGACUGGGGCGGUCGCCUCCUAAAUCGUAACGGAGGCGCGCGAAGGUUGGCUCAGAGCGGUCGGAAAUCGCUCGUUGAGUGCAAUGGCAGAAGCCAGCCUGACUGCAAGACUGACAAGUCGAGCAGAGUCGAAAGACGGCCAUAGUGAUCCGGUGGUCCCAAGUGGGAGGGCCAUCGCUCAACGGAUAAAAGGUACGCCGGGGAUAACAGGCUGAUACUGCCCAAGAGUCCAUAUCGACGGCAGUGUUUGGCACCUCGAUGUCGGCUCAUCUCAUCCUGGGGCUGGAGCAGGUCCCAAGGGUACGGCUGUUCGCCGUUUAAAGAGGUACGUGAGCUGGGUUUAGAACGUCGUGAGACAGUUCGGUCCCUAUCUUCCGUGGGUGUAGGAUACUUGAGAGGAGUUGCCCCUAGUACGAGAGGACCGGGGUGAACGAUCCACUGGUGGACCAGUUGUUAUGCCAAUAGCAGUGCUGGGUAGCUAUGAUCGGACAGGAUAACCGCUGAAGGCAUCUAAGCGGGAAGCCCCCCUCAAAACAAGGUAUCCCUGAGAGCCGAGGUAGACCACCUCGUCGAUAGGCCAGAGAUGUAAGCGUAGUAAUACGUUCAGUUGACUGGUACUAAUGGCUCGAUAGGCUUGAUUUG
rnacentral:rRNA from 1 species